GACGAACGCUGGCGGCGUGCUUAACACAUGCAAGUCGAACGGAAAGGCCCUGCUUUUGUGGGGUGCUCGAGUGGCGAACGGGUGAGUAACAAGUGAGUAACCUGCCCUUGACUUUGGGAUAACUUCAGGAAACUGGGGCUAAUACCGGAUAGGAGCUCCUGCUGCCUGGUGGGGGUGGGAAAGUUUCGGCGGUUGGGGAUGGACUCGCGGCUUAUCAGCUUGUUGGUGGGGUAGUGGCUUACCAAGACUUUGACGGGUAGCCGGCCUGAGAGGGUGACCGGCCACAUUGGGACUGAGAUACGGCCCAGACUCCUACGGGAGGCAGCAGUGGGGAAUAUUGCACAAUGGGCGGAAGCCUGAUGCAGCAACGCCGCGUGCGGGAUGACGGCCUUCGGGUUGUAAACCGCUUUCGCCUGUGACGAAGCGUGAGUGACGGUAAUGGGUAAAGAAGCACCGGCUAACUACGUG
rnacentral:rRNA from 1 species